GCACAGUCAGAAGUGGGGUGUGUGCUGAGAGAGAGAGGAUGAUGAUGAACCCGGACCCCAGAUGAUGUGAACUUAAUCUGAAGAUGUUCCAGAAAAGGGUCACUCUUCAACUUAGAUUGAGAAACAAGGAAUAGAGCCACACAAAAUAAAGCUGCUACAGCCCAGUCCCAGCCAACAACUGCAGAACUGCAGAACAAGUCAUCUCUGCCACUGUUGUUUGUGGACUCCCUGGAGAAUUACUCCACUGCUAAUGAAGCCCCCAAGAGACUCACACCAUGCUUCCAGUGCUGGCUUUUUGUUAUCAAUAGCUCCUAUGCCUCUAUCCCAAUCUUGUAUGAAGAGAGGUAAAUCCAAGAAUCCCUGUGUUUUAUUUUUUAUAAUAGCUUUGUUGAGACAUAAUUAACACACUAUACAACUCAAAUAAAGUGUACAGUUCAGU